rnacentral:rRNA from 1 species
GAUGAACGCUGGCGGCGUGCCUAAUACAUGCAAGUCGAGCGAACAGACGAGGAGCUUGCUCCUCUGACGUUAGCGGCGGACGGGUGAGUAACACGUGGAUAACCUACCUAUAAGACUGGGAUAACUUCGGGAAACCGGAGCUAAUACCGGAUAACAUGUUGAACCGCAUGGUUCAACAGUGAAAGAAGGUCUUGCUGUCACUUAUAGGUGGAUCCGCGCCGCAUUAGCUAGUUGGUAAGGUAACGGCUUACCAAGGCAACGAUGCGUAGCCGACCUGAGAGGGUGAUCGGCCACACUGGAACUGAGACACGGUCCAGACUCCUACGGGAGGCAGCAGUAGGGAAUCUUCCGCAAUGGGCGAAAGCCUGACGGAGCAACGCCGCGUGAGUGAAGAAGGUCUUCGGAUCGUAAAACUCUGUUAUUAGGGAAGAACAAAUGUGUAAGUAACUAUGCACGUCUUGACGGUACCUAAUCAGAAAGCCACGGCUAACUACGUG